rnacentral:piRNA from 1 species
UGAUAAGUCAGCAAAUGCUAGAAGACUCU